AUUCAGUUAUUUUCAAGGUUAAACCGUUUGGUUUUCGACCACUAGGACCCGGGUUCGAUUCCCGCAUUGGACA